rnacentral:rRNA from 1 species
GGCUUAUUGAUAAUUUUAAGUCAAUUCUGCCCAAUGAUUAAUGGCUGCAGUAUAUUGACUGUACAAAGGUAGCAUAAUCAAUUGUUUUUUAAUUAAGAACUGGAAUGAAAGAGUUAAUGAGAUAUAUUCUGUCUCAUAUAUAUUUAAUUAAUUUAAAUUUUUAGUUAAAAUGCUAAAAUUGAUUUAUGGGACGAUAAGACCCUAUAGAAUUUAAUAUUUGGGAGGAUAGAUAAAUUUAUAAAACUUUAUUAUAUUAACUUUAAUUAAAGAAUGAUCUUAUAAUAAAAAUUAAAAGAAUAAAUUACCUUAGGGAUAACAGCGUAAUAUCUUUUUAAAGAUCAUAUUGAGAAAGAUGAUUGCGACCUCGAUGUUGAAUUAAGAUAAAUUUUAAAUGAAGAAAUUUAAUAAUUAAGUCUGUUCGACUUUUAAAAUCUUACAUGAUUUGAGUUCAAAUCGACGUAAGU